rnacentral:tRNA from 1 species
GCGCCCGUAGCUCAAUGGAUAGAGCGUUAGCUUGCGGAGCUAAAGAUUACAGGUUCAAGUCCUGUCGGGCGCACCA